GUUUUGAUGCCUCCACUGAGGCAUGUUUGCCCCAGGAGAUGUAGGGUCUCCUCCUGGCUUACGUAAAGAACCAGUGUGUUAGUCAGUAUUCUGUUGUAACCCAGACUCCAAAACUCUCCGUGGUUUACAGCAGAGGUUUAAUUCUUGCACUCAAGUCUGCAGCUCAGCUGCCUCUGCUUAGCUCUGCUCCCAUCUUCUCACUCCAGGACUCAGGCUGAAAGAGCAGCAUCAUCUGGGAACUGUGGAGCUUACAGCAGAAAGCAGUAAGGCAAGAGGCCAAGCCAAACUAUGCAAUCUCAUUGAAAGCUUCUGCUCAGACAGCAUAAAUCAUGUCCGCUCACAUUCCAUUGGAAGAAGCGAGUCACAAGGCCAAACCUGCCAACAUACUCCCCUUACUGGAUUGCUCCUGGAAGUCACGUGGCAAACGGUGUUGGACGUGUAAUACCCUCAGACAGAGGCAGAAGAUAGUUGCAAACAAUAACAUAAUCGGUCGUACCAAGAAACAAGUGCUGGAACAAUGGGACUUAAGGAUAAAUCUGCCUUUCACAGCAGGGAGCCCCCCAGUGGGGCGAAUGGAAGAGAAUAUAAAGUUCCCAGGCUCUUGAAUUGAACAAAGACGGAGUCUCAGCUGCAGACAGGCCAAAUUCCAGUGGCAAAAACAAUGUCCUGAGAGCCAGAGCUUCCAACAUCUGGAGCCCAAACAGGGACCUAACAAAAGAUCAGAAUACAAUGACCCCGGGGGAUGCCUGACGAGUGUAUCAUUCUGUCUGAGGUUGAAGACAAAGAAAGGCCACUAUGAGUUCAGUAUCCAGAAGGUCCUGGAUUUCUUUCCGGCUCACAAGAAGGGAAAUUAGGGAACAUGGGCUUAAACAUGUCUUCACUGGCAUUGAAUCUGUGAGAAGUCAGCCCCACGGUUUUGGUAAUACUAAGUUAAAUACUAGUUUAAAAUGAGUUUGAGCCUAUUUGAACCCAAUUUGAUGUGAUAUGCACAGGGACUUAGGCCCCAGGCUUUGUGUUUUGUUGUUGUUGUUGUUGUUUGUUGUUUGUUUUUUUUUUGAGACGGAGUCUCACUCUGCCACCCAGGCUGGAGUGCAGUGGUGCGAUCUUGACUCACGGCAACCUCCACCUCCUGGGUUCAAGCGACUCUCCUGCCUCAGCCUCCUGAGUAGCUGGGAUUACAGGAGCCUGCCACCAAGCUAGUUUUUGUAUUUUUAGUAGGGAUGGGGUUUCACUGUGUUGGCCAGGCUGGUCUCAAAGUCCUGAACUCAAGUGAACUGCCUGCCUCGGCCUCCCAAAGUGCUGGGAUUACAGGCGUAAGCCACCGCGCCCAGCCGGCCCCUGGCUUUGGACCUUGGCCCUGUUGUUGAACAGCUCUGCAACUGUGGACAAGGAACUUAAUUUCUCUGUGCUUCAAUUUUGUUCUUGAAAAAGGGGAUAAUGAUAGUAUCUACCUCACUGGGAUGUGUUUUAGGAUUAAAUAUAUACAAAUAAAGCUCCUAGCACAGGACUUGUCAUAUAGUGAACAAACAACAAAUUUUGUUAUAAACACUAAUGUAAUGAGGAUCAAAAUCAUUAGUAUUUGGGUGUUUGUAGCUUUUCCCUUUCCUCUCCUAUUAAAAGCCAGUAUUACUUGGUCAGCAAAUCCUCCUCAGCCCCUUCUCCCACACUGUCCUCUGCUUUGGGGUCUUAUUGGGAAAUGUGGUGAAUGAGUGGGAGAACCAGACCGAGGGGGUGGAUCACCUGAGGUCAGGAGUUUGAGACCAGCCUGACCAACGUGGUGAAAAUUCAUCUCUACUAAAAAUACAAAAAUUAGCCAGGUCCAGUGUCAGGUGCCUGUAAUCCCAGCUACUUGGGAGGCUGAGGCAGAAGAAUUGCUAGAACCCAGAAGGCAAAGGUUGCAGUGAGCCGAGAUUGCACUACUGCACUCUAGCCUGGGCCACAGAGCAAGACUCCGUCUCAAAA
rnacentral:lncRNA from 1 species